AACUCAAGGGUUAUGAAACUCAUGGGAGUUAUGGGUGACUCCUGAGCUUUUGGCAAUUAUAAGGGCUCAUUAUGUAUGCAAUAGUGGGUGAGUUAUGUGGCUAGUGGGUGAGUUGAAAAGGCUCAUUAGGCCUAUAAAUAGUGGGGUUGGCUAAGGCCAAGACACACAAGAGAGAGUGUGUUUGUAUACUGUUUGUAGGUUGU
rnacentral:lncRNA from 1 species